rfam:Gossypium arboreum cultivar AKA8401 contig_12344_1, whole genome shotgun sequence.
AACCCAUGGUGAGGGCAUCUUCUCAAGAAGUCCUUGUAUCUCUCACAUGCAUCAUAGAGUAUUUUUAAAUUCAUCUGCACAAAAGAAGAAAUAUUAUUCCUCAGUUU